UUCAGAAAGUGAAACGCUGUGAAACAGCACAUGGUAGCUUUCAUCCCAACCUCUCUCUCUUGUCGUACAACUCCUCAUCCAGAGUAACAGCAACCCAAAACAUGGCCUUGAAAAUAUCACUUCAAAAAAAAAUACACAGAUCAAUUUUCUGUAAGUUAAGAAUGUCAUGGCUCAUACUGUCUUUGAAACGGUCCGUUAUCAUUCAAAUCUGCAUAUUCAAACCAGCAUGAAAAUGCUUGGAAAUGUCUUGUUCAUGGUUCCUCAGCCAAUGCAGCCACAAGCUUAUGGUAGUUACAGUGUGGUGAUGAAAGAGAGCAUGCCAGGCAAAAACAUUUAGUUCUCUGAGCAUUCUUGUUCCAUAUUAUUUCUUACAAAAAUGACUUAUGUUGAUAGUGCUUUAUGUUAUGUCUUAUUACAGUUUGAGGCUAGUGUAUUUUAAGGUUGCAAUUAGAAACAAACGCCAUAUUUCGUUAUAAAAAAUAAUGUGAUUGGCUUUUAUAGCUUUUUCUAGAGAUGAUCACUCUUGGCCAAGCUCUAAAUUAAAUUUCCAGCUGCUGUAAUUCUGGAUUCAUCGUCUACUAAACAUGUGAAGUGUAAGAAUUCUAGACUUGUACUCAAGACUUGCACACAUACUUUGUAUCUGAAAUCUUUAACAGCAGAUUGUAUCUUGGAGUCUUACGACAUCUCUAGUCACCUUGCAAAGUGAUAUAUCCAGAAAGAAACUUCCAAUUUUUGCAUACCUAAAGUCAAAACUAUGAAGCUCUGUAGCACAAGUGAGGUAACCUUUCUUUGAUUUAUGAUGCAAGCCUGAAACAGACUUAGUAACUUAAUAGCUUUUUUUUUCCUUCCUGCAAAAAUAACUGCUGCACGGCAUACAGUUAAAAUUAAAUAUUAACAGAGCUGCAGAAAUAUACGCUGAGGGCAUGAUGUGUGCUUGGAGUAACUUGGCUCCAUGACUUCUCUAAAUACAAGGUCUAUUUUUGAAGCAAGUGAUUUAUUGUAACAGCUUUAACAUGCUAUUCCAUAUAGAGCUUAGCAAGCAGCAUGCUCAACUUCAUGAAAACUGAGAAAUGGCUCUGGUAAAAGUUAAGGGCCAUUUGGUCCAGCUAAAUCACUGCUAUAAAGUUCCAGGAGCAGCCACCUGCUAUAAAACUUGCUUCAUUGGUUGAGGCUCAAAGUUAGUGUUCUCUAAGAUAUCACUGUACGGAGAAAGCCUACAGAGAAGUUGGAGGUGUGAUUUGAAAGCCCGAGGAAUCAUGAAAAAGCCAAGCAGCAUGUCUGGUAUCCUACACAGGGCAAGAACAUAGAGUGUAAUAAAAAAUACUACCAGGUAGUCCCUUAAAUGUAUUUUCCAGCUGACACCCUCCAUUUCUUCAGCACUGCAUAAUAUACACUGUUCUAAUGCAUUUGCACCCCAACGUAGCAUGGGGGGUGUGCUUCAAGUAAGACUACAAGGGGCUCAGGAACAUGAUGUGUGCUUAUAUAUGUUAAGGACUCAAACCCAGCCCCUCGGUACUACAACCAAUACACAAAAAAGCUGUUUAAAUAUGUAUGUGUAGAUAUGUCAUUACCUCAAAGGCAGUUAAAAAAUGUUAGAGACUAAACCACAAAUUUCACAGUAGCAAUGUGUGGCAUUAAUAUGACAUAUUAAUAUCCUUAUGGUAGGUGAUUAAGGGAGGAAAUGGACCUUGGUGAAUUAACCUUCCCUAGCAGAGUGAAACACGCUCCUAUAAACUGAACUAAAUUAAUGCAGUACAUUGGAAUAUUUCCAACCCUGUCUUUAACACAACAGGCCUUUUUUCUUUUUUUAAAAUCAUAAUUAUAUUGUAGAUGAGUAACUAGGACAUAUGAGCCACUCAGCAUGGAUGUGUAAAAUACAGCGCAUCGCUGAUUAUGAGCAUUUCAUAAACCUAAAUGUGAUGGUUGAUUCUUCCAGACAGCUUAAAGAUCCACAUAACCAUGUUAAUGCCUCUGCUGUACCUCUUCUUAAUUUAAUUUUUUUCCAUCUGGGGGUGUACGUGCAGAAAUAUCGUGCAUCUUCAAGCACAUUACUUUACACUGAUGUUACUGAAAGGAAACUUCCCAAAUGAAUUUGAGCUUUUGAGGGUUUUUCAUAUCACAGCCUAAGGUAUUUUAGCAGGAUUCAAUAAAAAAUUGCCCCCCCCCUUUUUACAUCAUCACACAUCACUCAUUGUUAACAUUAAAACAAGCUUUAGAGACAGUCAAACCUCUUUGAAUAAGCAGCAAUGCAAUAUUUUUCUUGGAGUUAAUUUCAAACUGUGGUUUACCAUGUGAAUCACUCCCUAGAGUCAUUAUUUAAAUUUAAUUUAAGUAGAUAAUAAGUAAAAACUUAGGAACACUGCAGUGUUCUACCCCAAUGUAGACAUACAACAAAAUACUGUGACUUUGGAUAUUCAACUGAUUCCAACUGUUGAAUAAAAUGCUUUAAGCAGUAAAAAAACCCAACCCAAUGAACAGACAGGUCACGCAGACUGGAAAAUUCGGCCAAGCUGACUUACUGUAGAGGAUACACGAGACUUUAGUUUGUACAAUCACAUUAUUGAUUUGGUUGCUAGAAGUGUUAGAUCUUAAUUCUCACGAAGUUGUUGGAUUUAUGUCUAAUUACAUGACUUGUGAAUUUGGCUAAAACUGCACAACAGAAUUUAGAUGACGUUCAACAGAAAUGUACUUGAAAUGUACUGACCGCAUGGCUUUACUGUAACCAACUCUUGGUUCUUGGUAUAGCAAAAUCAAUGAAAACAAAGCAACAUAGUGUGAGAAAAGAAAUAAAAUCAAGGCAUUCAAAUUUUUCUACCUUUAAAUUCCAGCAUGAGGUCUGAAUAACUGCAAUAGAAAUAAUUUAUAUGCCUGCCUUUGCUUUUCCAGUACCUGUGGGUUAUUUUCUAAUUAAGUGACAUGAGCCUGAUUCUGAUCUCACUGACUUAAGUUAAAACAUUGCUGAUUUCAAAUGGUUGAACUAGAAAAUGAAUUCUUGUCUUAAGCCUGUCUAUUCCUCAUCAUGGGUAAAAGGAGUAAAAAGCGUUUCAAGCUCCUCUCUGCCAAAAAAACCUGAAGCCCUUCAGAUCCGCAUUCUGAGGAUGUUCCCCAUCUUACAGACACCUUGUGGCCUCAGGCCUGAGCACUCACAUAGAAUGGAUAGCUGGAAGAAGAGUAAUUAAGUGCUGAGACCACAUUAUAGGCAGAGAAUUGAGACAAAAUCAAUCAGUACUGCUUUUGUAUGACAAACUUCUCACAUAAAUAUUUCUACAUUAAACAUAAUCUUCUCUCAGAUAUGAUCAACUAAGCAAACAAAAGAACAUCCUCAGUUUCCACUACAAACUAAGGUUCCGAUAUCACAGAGGUCAAAGCAACCUCUUAAGAAAGGAAUUACAAGUUCAAUCAAAUGAAUAUCACAAUGGGUAGGCGGUUGUUAUAUCAGCACAAACUCUGCCUCUACAUCUAGAUUUGAAAUGCUGUGUUAGUUGUAAUAAAACAAUCUGCUGAGAAAAUGUUCAGUCACUAAGUGUUACAAGUUUAAAAGAAAAGAGGCCGGAGCUUCCAGCACAGGAGAUUCAGUGCCCUGCGCCUGACUGCACGUCUGAAUAGAUACAGCAGUUUCUUCUGGGGCUCAGCAAUUAUUAGGCUUAGAAGUCACAUUCCAGGAAAACAUAUUUUAUAGAAUGGAUCUUGCAGAAAACCUUUUUUUUUUGCAACAUUAGAAGGGAGAAGGUGGAGUUGUCUGCACAGAAUAACGUUCCAUUAGAACUGUCUGAUACAAAAGCCAAUGAUACAAAGGCCAGUGGCAUCUUGGCUUGUAUCAGAAGCAGUGUGACCAGCAGGUCCAGCGGGGUUAUUCUGCCCCUGUACUCAGCACUGGUGAGACCGCACCUCAAAUCCUGGGUUCAGUUCUGGGCGAUUCGCCCCAAGAAGGAUGUUGAGGCUCUGGAGCGUGUUCAGAGAAGGGCAACGAAGCUGGUGAGGGGCUGGAGAACAAGUCUUACGAGGAGCGGCUGAGAGAGCUGGGGUUGUUUAGCCUGGAGAAGAGGAGGCUGAGGGGAGACCUUAUUGCUCUCUACAACUACCUGAAAGGAGGUUGUGGAGAGGAGAGGAGGGAGCUGGGCUCUUCUCCCAAGUGACAGGGGACAGGACAAGGGGGAAUGGCCUCAGGCUGCGCCACUGGAGGUUCAGGCUGGACAUCAGAAAAAAAAUUUUCACAGAGAGGGUCAUUGGGCACUGUCAGAGGCUGCCCAGGGAGUGGGUGGAGUCACUUUCCCUGGAGGCUCCAUUCCCUGGAGACAGGUGGAUGAGAUGCUCAGGGACAUGGUUUAGUGGCAGAUGGGAAUGGUUGGACUCAGUGAUCCUGGAGGUAUUUUCCAACCUACUGAUGCUGUGAAAAGGAUUAAUGCAAAUAAUCAUCGCAUUUCAAAAACACCCAUGCAAUAGGCGGAUUCCACGUUCAAAAUAAGAAAAAAAGAGAACAGAGCUUUUGCUAGUGGUGUGUAACACAGCUCUUGCUGCUGCAGCUGCAUGAUUCAGCAGUCCAUGAAAAUCUAUUUAUUUUUUAUCUAUGUAUACAGUCAUUCAUCUCUUUUCAAGAUACAUGUAUAUACUGAUAUAAUUCAUUACCACCUUAUGAUUUAUGAUUCAAGCCUAAUUAUUCAGAAUCUUUACUUCAUAUUUCUACACGUUAAGACAAAUCCCUAAUCCCCUGCAAAAUGUGUUGAUCUUCCAGUUUGAGUUGCGCUCUUGGCACUUCCCUCACCCUGCCUGGGACUUUCUAAAAGGGCAUUUCCCUCUCCCCACAACACAGCAUGGUUUGAUCUCUUCCACAGUGAGAAAAGACAAUGAGGUUUUCCAGUCCAGCAGAGCAACUCCUGUGUCUGAAACUGCAUUCGAGAGAUUCUUUUAGCGUGCUGUUUAUAAAAUGAAAAUGAUCUGCAUGCUCAGCAGUGAAACUUUAUAAUCAUCUGCUCAACUAAACAGGUCAAGCUUGUUCUGGUGCAACACCAUCCAGAUUCCUGGAACCGGAGGCGACUCGGCACUGUGUGGGAAGCACAGAGCACAAUUCGGGUUAAAUUGCCUCAUUUCCUGCCAGCAGCUGGCAGCACGUUGUGACCACAGUUCUAUGCUUUUUGGAAUCUGCCUAACUGUAGUAAGGACAAUUUUGUCAGAGAGGAAUACAAACUUCUCUUUCAGGACAUGAACAGAGUUUGGGUUUCAAUCCUCAAACAAUUUUUAGGUGGAAUACUAACACACUGAUCACUCAGCACUAGAGUUCCUCCAACUCGCAGUGCCGGUUAGCAUUGCCAUUUGAGUUAAUAUUCGUGGCAGUUUUAAGGGAGGGGUUUCCCCUGUGGGUGGAGAGAAAGGGAUGAAACGGGAAGCAGCUAGGAGAGCAGCUGUGUCACUUCUUCAAACGAAUUACUGCCCAAUAAUCAGCUUAAUUAGCUCUUUCCUGUUGUGGUUGACAAAGAAUCCCUCAUUCAGUUUAUUCCCAGUAGGAUAUUUUGGAUUUUUUCUCGAGUUUAGUGUAAAAAACAGAUCAACGCAACAUUUCUGAAACCAUUUCUGCCAUGAGGAGGGGUCUCGUUUCUAAUACUGAGCAGCAGCACAGCUCUUCGCGUUGCAUCACGUGAAAUGCAGCCAAUGCUAACAAACAUUCCCCUGUUUCCCAUCGCUCUCAUCCCACUCUGUCUCACGGUCUCUGUGGCUGGAAAAGAAAGCUAACGGUUCAAACGAUGCAAGGCUGAUGCUACCCUUCAGCCGACCAGAAGAGGAGGCUCUGGCACUGAGCAGCGGGCUUCUUCCCUCCAGAAAGAUGCUGAGAUCCUGCAGCAAUCCCUUACUACAAGGGGGAAAUUGCAGUUUAAUUUCCCAGCGUAACCUCAGUGAAUGAGCUUAAAACUGAUAAAUGCAGAGGAGUCUCAAACAUUUGGGAAUAGAAGGAAGCUAUGAAUCAGCUUAAAUUUCAUUCUGAAAAUUUAUUAUUCUUUUCUUUAUAAAUAUUUCAGUUCUAUGAAAGGCAAAUGCUCCUUACAUACUGGAGAAGUGAAAAGCAAAUUUAUAUUGGAAGAUAUAAUACAAGUUUUCAAGGUUCCUUUCUGUUGACAGCCCGUGUUCUAUUUAUCUAUUGCUAAGACCAUCCAGUCUUUAUCCACCUUUUGCACUUCUCAAGGAACAAUUUUAACACUAUACUAAGGAAUUUGACUUCCCAACAUUCCUAAGCAGCAGCUGCUACUUUAAACUGCUUAUAGAAGAAAGGAAAUGGAGGCACCAUGGCUUUAAAUGACUCUGCGCAAAGACAGCCAACAACUCGUGAGGCAGCCAACAAAUUGCAUUUGGCUCAGCCAGCGCUUCUAUCCUGUGCUUUACUUAAAAGGUCAAUCAUCUCUUCAUCUAUUUUCUCUUCACCACAUAAGUUCCCAAAUUUGGCAGGAGACAAAUCGUGAGCAUAAUGAGAUCCGCACUGGGACUCUGAAAUAAGUGUGUUCAGUACGGUUUCAUGAACAGGACAACACUGAAAUCAAAGAGCCUGUCUUAAUACUUUUAUGCAAAGGGACAAAUGUUAAAGCUGUGCUUAGCCUUAUAGCUUCAGCUUAAACAUUUUGAAUGGCACGAAGCUAAAUCUUCACCUGGGCUGUGCCCCCUCUGAAACUGCUUAGUUUCAGUCCUCGGACUCAUGCUUACUCUCCCUGUUAUUUGAAUGUUUUCAACAUUAGUUAUGCCCUUUCUUCCAGCUAUGCCACACCCGUGCAAAAGACUUGACUAAAUCUUUUGACUACCUCAAAAAAGGUUUGACUACCUAUGAAUCUAUGAUUCUACACUAAAUCAAAAUUGUUUCAAGUUUGAGAUUAAUGCCAGAUAAGGAAAUAGUGAAACUGCAAAACAGUCAAACUUUUAUUAUAGUCAAACUAUUUAUUUAUUACAGCCCUGCAGCUCAGCUGAUGCCAUACUUACAGCUGCAGAACCUGUAUCAACCAUAGCAUUGAUGAGCUCAAGAAUGUAAGGAGAGACUGUGUGUUACUUGUGGAAUUUGUAGAAGUUUUUAUCAUUGUGAAGAACUUUGAGGUUUUUAUACCUUCCUUACAUGUUUGUAAAAGAAUGUAUGCUUAUUUUUCUAAAACAGAAAAAAAAACAUGACCAGAGCAGUCAGAGAAGAAAUACAUGCCUGAAAAUUAGUGAAAGCUGCAGUCCAUACAAGAGAAUUUAUGGUUUGUAUUGGACACUGAACUUGGACAUGCAGAUACUUCAGCAAACAUUGCCAUGCCUUAACCUUGACUGAGAGAAAGGUGAGAAAAACUCCUGAUGUUUGAGGACAACACUGUCACGACUGUCUUAUAAUGUAGGGGUUUUGCUGGUUUUUGAAAUGCUAUUGAAUUCAUUCAUAUGAAAUAUCAAAAUAUAAAUACAGUCAAGUGGUGGUCUGGAGGUGACAACUUUUGCCUAUGUGUCAUAGAAUUCACUGUUACUAGGAAUAAUAAAGGGGCAAGCAAAGGAACCUGGGGUUUUGAAGUAUAUUUACUGUAACAUGACUUAUUGCAACAAUCCUGUACCACUGUUCAUGUCAGUAAAUACUUUUUAAUCUGGAUUUUGAGAUUCUCCAACAGCUCAAUGCCUUCAUUCCCUUCCAAACCACCCUCAGAGAAGAAUUUUCUUCAGUUAAAAUUACUGUUGUCUGUAAGUAUAUGAGUGACACAAAUGUCACACCUCCUGAGCUGCAAAGGGCCUCUCACCCAGCACUCUACUGGUGCCCAUUCCCCCAGGCCAAACACCCUACACCAGAGACCUUUCUGAACACUGGUAGAUGCCUUGUUCCCCACCAAACCCUCUCUUAGAUGCCACCCUUUUCACCCAGAAAGGUUCUAGUAAAGCUUUUUUGCAUCUGCAAGUACUUUCUGUAGCCCACUCAGAAGAGGCUGCCUCCAACAGCUCCUAUAAACCUUUCCCAAGCACCGAUGCACAGAAUGCUCAAGUGCAAGACAACAUGCUCCUGAAAAACAGCUGAGUCCUUUGAUCCUCAUCUCUCUCUGAAGAGUUAAAAUAAGGAAUGUAAACUGACUUUAUAGCUUUGCAUGUCAAAGGCACUUUCAGGACCUUGAAAGAAAACCUACAGUGCAUUCAAUUAACUUUUCUAUAGGAUAGAUAGGAGGAAAAUGUUUUGUGUAGCAAAUAGCUUUGAAUAUCUAUGGCAGAAACUUUAAAAUGGACAUUUGCUAGGAAGAAAUGCACCUAGUACAGAGCAAUGGGAAUCUGAUAUUUAAAAAGCUUUUAUGUGCCUGUGGUGGAAGUUGGCAAAUUUGUCAUACCUGCACAAGUACUGCUGAGGGUCCCAAAAGACAGGUGUCAGUCCCGUGUUGGUGAGUAACUCUGAAGAGACAAGGCUACUACUUGAUGCCUUGAAAACUAACAACAUUCUGUGCAGUUCUUGAGGGAAAAUAAGCACUCUCUCCUGCUUCCUGUCCUUAUGACUUUGCUGGUGCAGUCGAACACCCGCCUAACUGUACGACUGAUUGGUUGUUUUUGUUCUAGGAAUUUCACAGUGCUGGUUGAUGACUCUUCCAAUAACUUUCUCUCAGAUAACUUCUAUAAAAUCAUAAUAUAAACUGAAACAACUGCCGAGUGAGAUAAGGCCUCAAUUUAAUCUUCCCUUGCCAAAAAGUUUACAAGAUCCUCAGCAAAAUAACAUUUAUUUCUGUCUCAAUUAAUAAAUGUCAAAUUUCAAAUUUGACAAAAUAAAAUUACAUCAAAUUAUCCUCCCCAAGUGCAUUCUCCUCUUUUACUCUGAACAUGUUUGCAGCGUUUACAGGGUCAAUGUUACCUUCUGAGCUCUGAAUUUGGAAAGCAUGGUCUUUACAGAAACUACUUAAAGUUGAUAUAUGGAAGUCUACUGCCCAAACCAGUAGAACACCGUCUAAUCGCCCAUUUAUUUUCAUCUCCAAUGUUUCCUAUUUAUACCACACACUAGGGAUAAAACUGGCAGUCACAGAAGGGUAAAUUUGCAACAAUGGAGAUUUUAUCUCCUCUCCAUUUAUCUAAUUAAGUGUGUCAGCAGUACAAAUGUCCUACCCAGUGCUCAAGCUGAAGGAUAUACACCAUCUUUCAGGUUUCAUCAAGAGAUGAGUUGCCAGUCACAGUCAAUGAAUGCUGGUCAUUCUAACAUGAACAUUUAUCUUAUGGAAAAUGAUGAGCUUUGAAAACAGAAACCAAGCCAUCCAUUUCCUCUGCCACUUGCUGUUAUUUAUUAAACUGACUUAUCCUCUUUAUUUUUUAUUCUCAUGUCAUUUGAAUAAUCUGACAAGAAUGUGAUAUGACGCAAGCUUUCAAAUGCCCUGAUGUCCUCUUUGUAAAUCAGUGUUUUUUCAGUCGUAGUCAGGAUUUGGAUACACCAAGGUGCAGUCUAAUGGCUCUUGCCCAAGAAUCUAAAAAGUCAAAUGCGUAUUUUGAGAAGCCUUGGUAACCUAGAUGAAAACAAACUGCUCAGAAUGGGUCAGGUCAGAUCACAUCAGAGGACAGAUGGAUGCUUUGGUUCUGCUAAUCAGAAAUUAGCCAGACAGAGAUCACUAACACGUUACAUUGUGGCAGUUUUGCUGCCUGUGCAUUUGUUCAGUGUUUACUUACUUGGAGUGGGCAAAACCUGUUUCCUAUAGUAGAUAUUUACCUUCACUGCGGUAGAUAAAAAUGAUAUUAACUUUGGCUGAGAAGAA